AACGCUGGCGGCGUGCCUAACACAUGCAAGUCGAACGGAGAUGUUGAUUUCGGUUGACGUCUUAGUGGCGAACGGGUGAGUAACGCGUGAACAAUCUGACCUUAAGAGGGGGAUAACAACGAGAAAUCGUUGCUAAUACCGCAUAAGACCACAAUGCCGCAUGGCGAAGGGGUCAAAGGAGCAAUCCGCUUAAGGAGGGGUUCGCGUCCCAUUAGGUAGUAGGUGAGGUAACGGCUCACCUAGCCGACGAUGGGUAGCCGAGCUGAGAGGCUGAUCGGCCACACUGGAACUGAGACACGGUCCAGACUCCUACGGGAGGCAGCAGUGGGGAAUAUUGGGGCAAUGGGCGCAAGCCUGACCCAGCAACGCCGCGUGAGGGAAGAAGGUUUUCGGACUGUAAACCUCUGUCGCAGAUGACGAAACAAAUGACGGUAAUCUGUGAGGAAGCCCCGGCUAACUACGUG
rnacentral:rRNA from 1 species